rnacentral:rRNA from 1 species
UACGUAGGGUGCAAGCGUUAAUCGGAAUUACUGGGCGUAAAGCGUGCGCAGGCGGCUUUGCAAGACAGAUGUGAAAUCCCCGGGCUUAACCUGGGAACUGCAUUUGUGACUGCAUGGCUGGAGUGCGGCAGAGGGGGAUGGAAUUCCGCGUGUAGCAGUGAAAUGCGUAGAUAUGCGGAGGAACACCGAUGGCGAAGGCAAUCCCCCUGGGCCUCACUGACGCUCAUGCACGAAAGCGUGGGGAGCAAACAGG